rnacentral:rRNA from 1 species
UACGUAGGGUGCAAGCGUUGCCCGGAUUUAUUGGGCGUAAAGGGCGCGCAGGCGGCUACGCACGUCCGUUGUGAAAUCGCUCGGCUCAACUGGGCGGGGUCGGCGGAUACGGCGUAGCUGGAGCAAGCUAGGGGGCAAUGGAAUUCCCGGUGUAGUGGUGGAAUGCGUAGAUAUCGGGAGGAACACCAGUGGCGAAGGCGGUUGCCUGGAGCUUUGCUGACGCUGAGGCGCGAAAGCGUGGGGAGCGAGUCG